AGUGAACGCUGGCGGUAGGCCUAACACAUGCAAGUCGAACGGCAGCACAGUAAGAGCUUGCUCUUACGGGCGGCGAGUGGAGGACGGGUGAGGAAUACAUCGGAAUCUACUUUUUCGUGGGGGAUAACGUAGGGAAACUUACGCUAAUACCGCAUACGGCCUACGGGUGAAAGCAGGGGAUCUUCGGACCUUGCGCGAUUGAAUGAGCCGAUGUCGGAUUAGUUAGUUGGCGGGGUAAAGGCCCACCAAGGCGACGAUCCGUAGCUGGUCUGAGAGGAUGAUCAGCCACACUAGAACUGCGACACGGUCCAGACUCCUACAGGAGGAAGCAGUGGGGAAUAUUGGACAAUCGGCGCAAGCCUGAUCCAGCCAUACCGCGUGGGUGAAGAAGACCUUCGAGUUGUAAAGCCCUUUUGUUGGGAAAGAAAAGCAGCAGGUUAAUACCCCGCUGUUCUGACGGUACCCAAAGAAUAAGCACCGGCUAACUUCGUG
rnacentral:rRNA from 1 species